UACGUAGGGUGCAAGCGUUGUCCGGAAUUAUUGGGCGUAAAGAGCUCGUAGGCGGUCUGUCACGUCGGCUGUGAAAACUCGGGGCUCAACCCCGAGCCUGCAGUCGAUACGGGCAGACUAGAGUCCGGCAGGGGAGACUGGAAUUCCUGGUGUAGCGGUGAAAUGCGCAGAUAUCAGGAGGAACACCGGUGGCGAAGGCGGGUCUCUGGGCCGGAACUGACGCUGAGGAGCGAAAGCAUGGGGAGCGAACAGG
rnacentral:rRNA from 1 species